rnacentral:tRNA from 1 species
AGUGAAGUCAGCUAAUUAAGCUAUCGGGCCCAUACCCCGAAAAUGUCGGUUACA